GUGGUGCAGAGAUGGAGUUGUCUAUUGGCCAAACUACAGAAAUGAUAAAAGAGUAAACAGGGCAGUGAAAAAUUCGGAGGAGCCUGGACCUGACUGAUAACAUAUGAUGUCAGAGUUAUUAAAACAUGUGAUGACUAGUUUGAGGCACAACGACUCUUAAAGAAGUCUCUGAUGUGUAACACAUCAGAUCUACAGUCUGAAGAGGAAGAGGAGGAGAUUAAACCAAAGAGAAGGCCAAAGCCAAUUCAUUUCUUUGGAGACACAGAUGAUGACAGUGAGGAGGAAGGUCAUCCUCAUAAGAAGAGAGCCAGGGGUCCAGCCAAACUCUUAACCGAACCACCAGCUCCUGUUAUAUCAACACCACCUUUUAU